rnacentral:tmRNA from 1 species
GGGGGCGACUGGUUUCGACACGAUAGCUCUGAGAGAGGAAGCAGGCCGUGGUCUCCUCGCCACGUUAAACAGGGGUACCGUCAAAUUGAAUUGAUAACAACUCUUCUUAUGAGCCUCUGGCUCUCGCUGCUUAAUUAAUUAGCGGCGCGUCGACCCGGGGAUUUCCCCGACUCCGGUGAGACGUCAUUUCAGGGGAAUGCUCCCGCGCACGUAAUCGGUAUGGCGCGGGCUAAGACCGAACCGGUUGGGGUUUCGCGAGCGUGUCGCUUCGCGCAAGAAGCCCGAGAUUAAAUAAGCGACUGAGCCUGGAGAUGCCGAUCAGGGGGCUUUCGUGGACCGGAGUUCGAUUCUCCGCGCCUCCACCA